rnacentral:lncRNA from 1 species
GAACAAAUCUGCAACUAUUCCAAGGCAAUUUUUGGAAGAGGUUGAGCUUCACAAAGUUGAAUCUUUCUCUUGACCUUUAGAACAACCAUGUAUUUUGUGAUAUCAUCAAUGUUUAAGCAUUUGUCUCAACAUUUUAAGGUAGUUUGAAACAGAAGAUUUGAGACCAAAGAUAUGACCACAGCUCCUGAGAAGAAAGACUUGACAUAUGACUGUAUUCCUCUCCAUUAACAUUUAAAUACUGAAAACAAUUAGAAGGAUUGAAGAACUGAGCAAAAGCCUAAUGAAAAUUCUGCUGCAUGGCAAGUCACAGUAUCUUUAAUAUUUCUCUUUUCACUUCAAGAUUGUCCAGGGUUUCCAAAUCUUACCUAAGGCUGAUCAAGAACAAGGUCCUAACAGAAGGUCUAGCCCUUUGAAAAGAGCUCUACUGCAUCCCGGCUUCUGCUCAUCUGAGUCUCAGGGCCUUUCAGACUGUGAAGGUAGUUCAACUUGAAGAAACGAAGGAUGCCAAAACCACACAUGGAUACAGAAAAUGUCAAUUUUAAAACACAGAGGAUAAUACAAAGCUUCUCCUGUGGGAGGAUGAAAGGAGUGCAAGUAGUGAUAGUACUUCUACAAAGACCAUUAGGAUUUGGUGAUUUCAUCAACAAAAACGCUCCCAGAGCCAUAAAGGACAGCCUGGGGGCUAUGGUCAUAUAAGAUGAAUCUCUAGAAAAGGGCUUUAUUUCAAGAGGUACAAACUCAGAAAAAUUCUGUGAUUUUCUUCAGAAAAAAAGUAGCACUGCCUACAGCUUUGAGGAUCACCUGAGGCAUGAUGAACAAGAAACAUGACGUAGGAGAGAAAGAAC